rnacentral:rRNA from 2 species
CCAAUAGCGUAUAUUAAAGUUGUUGCAGUUAAAAAGCUCGUAGUUGAAUUUUAGGCCUGGCCGGGCGGUCCGUCUUUGGCGAGUACUGUCCUGUGUCGGGUCCACCUUCUGGUGAACCAGUAUGUCCUUUAUUGGGUGUGCCGGGGAGCCAGGACCAUUACCUUGAAAAAAUUAGAGUGUUUAAAGCAGGCAUUUGCUUG